UACGGGGGGGGCAAGCGUUGUUCGGAAUUACUGGGCGUAAAGGGCUCGUAGGCGGCCAACUAAGUCGGACGUGAAAUCCCCAGGCUCAACCUGGGAACUGCGUCCGAUACUGGAUGGCUUGAAUCCGGGAGAGGGAUGCAGAAUUCCAGGUGUAGCGGUGAAAUGCGUAGAUAUCUGGAGGAAUACCGGUGGCGAAGGCGGCAUCCUGGACCGGCAUUGACGCUGAGGCGCGAAAAGCUAGGGGGAGCAAAC
rnacentral:rRNA from 1 species